GUGGUCUAGAGCUAACUCAGGGGCAUUGUGGGUAAAUACUGGGUAAAUACUGUCUCUUAGUGGUGGAGAUAGAUGGACUAUAGCUAACUCAGGGGCAUUGUGGGGGCAUUGUGGGUAAAUACUGGUUAAAUACUGUCUCUUAGUGGUGGAGAUAGAUGGUCUAGAGCUAACUCAGGGGCAUUGUGGGUAAAUACUGGGUAAAUACUGUCUCUUAGUGGUGGAGAUAGAUGGACUAUAGCUAACUCAGGGGCAUUGUGGGUAAAUACUG
rnacentral:lncRNA from 1 species